AGAUUUUGACACAGAGAGAGCCAGAGAGAUUAUUUCCUUGGCCGGAAGGUCUGGGUAAUCUUGUGAAACUCUGUCGUGCUGGGGAUAGAGCAUUGCAAUUAUUGCUCUUCAACGAGGAAUUCCUAGUAAGCGCGAGUCAUCAGCUCGCGUUGAUUACGUCCCCUGCCC
rnacentral:rRNA from 1 species